UUAGAGUUUCCUUUUGGCUCAGGAUGAACGCUAGCGGCAGGCUUAACACAUGCAAGUCGAGGGGCAGCGGGUGUAGCAAUACAUGCCGGCGACCGGCGCAAGGGUGCGUAACGCGUGAGCAAUCUGCCCGUAUCAGGGGGAUAAGCGAUGGAAACGUCGUCUAAUACCGCAUAACACCAAUGAUGGCAUCAUCGAUGGUUGAAAGCUUCGGUGGAUACGGAUGAGCUCGCGAGACAUUAGUUAGUUGGCGGGGUAACGGCCCACCAAGACCGCGAUGUCUAGGGGAACUGAGAGGUUGGUCCCCCACACUGGAACUGAGACACGGUCCAGACUCCUACGGGAGGCAGCAGUGAGGAAUAUUGGACAAUGGCCGGAAGGCUGAUCCAGCCAUGCCGCGUGAAGGAAUAAGGUCCUAUGGAUUGUAAACUUCUUUUGUACGAGAGCAAUAAGUGUCACGAGUGACACGAUGAGAGUAUCGUACGAAUAAGCAUCGGCUAACUCCGUGCCAGCAGCCGCUCUAAUACGGAGGAUGCGAGCGUUAUCCGGAUUUAUUGGGUUUAAAGGGUGCGUAGGCGGGAAUUUAAGUCAGCGGGGAAACGCAAGGGCUCAACCCUUGACCUGCCGUUGAAACUGGAGUUCCUUUAAUGCGGAUGCCUGUGGGAAGGAAGUCGGGGUGAGCCGGGAAAAAUGCAAAGAUAUCACACAAAACACCGAAUUGCGAAGGCAUCUCACAAAUCCGUGAUUGACGCUGAGGCACGAAAGUGUGGGGAUCAAACAGGAUUAGAUACCCUGGUAGUCCACACUGUAAACGAUGAUAACUCGCUGUCGGCGAUACACAGUCGGUGGCCAAGCGAAAGCGAUAAGUUAUCCACCUGGGGAGUACGACCGCAAGGUUGAAACUCAAAGGAAUUGACGGGGGCCCGCACAAGCGGAGGAACAUGUGGUUUAAUUCGAUGAUACGCGAGGAACCUUACCCGGGCUCGAACGGCAAGUGAACGACACAGAGAUGUGAAGGUCCUUCGGGACACUUGUCGAGGUGCUGCAUGGUUGUCGUCAGCUCGUGCCGUGAGGUGUCGGCUUAAGUGCCAUAACGAGCGCAACCCUUGCCAUUAGUUACCAGCAUGUAAUGAUGGGGACUCUAGUGGGACUGCCACCGUAAGGUGUGAGGAGGGGGGGGAUGACGUCAAAUCAGCACGGCCCUUACGUCCGGGGCGACACACGUGUUACAAUGGUGGGUACAGAGGGCAGCUACCUGGUGACAGGAUGCAAAUCUCGAAAACCCAUCUCAGUUCGGAUCGGAGUCUGCAACUCGACUCCGUGAAGUUGGAUUCGCUAGUAAUCGCGCAUCAGCCAUGGCGCGGUGAAUACGUUCACGGGCCUUGCACUCACCGCCCGUCA
rnacentral:rRNA from 1 species